AGUGCCCUGUGAGAGCAGGGGACGGACCGAACGAACGAACGAACACUCUCUAUAACUAAUCGCUCGUGACGCUUCGCCGUCUGUCCGAAUGUCCGUCCCAAAUCGGCCGACGCGGCGCGCACACACGCAGAGCAGCACUUCUGUUUUCCGUUCUCUUUUUCUCGCGGUGACGUGUGAGCCGAGCCUUCGGCCGAGCUGAGCUCGCGACGCGCGCGUACCGUGCCCGACAACAGAACCAUCCGGCGUCGAGCAGCAGUUUCCACGGUUAGUGCCGGUCCGUUAGCGGCUUCGCCGCGACAUGCCCUGUUUUCCCGGAUGAUCAUCGUCGCCGCACGCUUCCUCGUGCCUUCCGCUGGACUCGCCUGGACGUUGUCGCCGGACCGCUGGACCCCAGUGCACGUCCGCCGCCGCUGAACGAGCCACGGGGAAAGACAUGUGGCCGCCGCUUGGACCUCUCCGGCAGGACCCAAAGACACCCUGAUGGCAGUCACCGUCCCGGCGACAGAUCGCGACCGUUCGCCGCCACUCGAAGCCCCGUUGUCGCUUCGUCCUCUGAAGGAGUAGUACUGGCUAACAUUUUCAGUGAGAGAGUGCAGUGCGUGCAGGUGCGGUUGGUGACCUAAUUCGUUGUUUGUUCCCGCCGCGAGAGAGAGAAUUGAAACAGAGAAACUAGCCGCUGCUGCUGCUGCUGCUCUAGCCGCUGCUGUUGCUGCUGCUGCUGCUGCUGCUGCUGCUGAUCAUCGACGACCGAGUCGAGCCGGCCGAAAUGUCAGCGUACGCGCAGUUCGGGUACUCGUAUCCGUCGGCGUCCCAGCUGCUGGUGAGCGGCGGACAGCCAACGACGACGACGUCGCCGGCGAUGUCGUCGGGGGGUGCGCUCAGUCCGGGCGCGCUGUCGCCGUCGUCGUCGACGACGACAGGCGCCGCUGCCGCGGCCGCCUCCGGAGGGGCGAGCACCCCCGUGGGCGGGACGACAGGGCCCGGUUGCUGCGAGAACGGCAGGCCCAUGAUGACGGACCCGGUCACCGGGCAAACGGUCUGCAGCUGUCAGUACGACAGCGCGGCGAGGCUCGCGCUGGGCGCCUACCCCAGGCUAGCGCCCACGGCGACCUCCUACUCCUCUUACCCCACGCCGACGCCAUCCACCACCGACCAGGGGCCCUACCCUAGCAUCAGCAUGGACAGCUCAGCGUUCUAUCCACCUUUGGGAAAUCCGUACGGAUUGAAGGACACGACGGGGAUGGGCAUGACGGCGGAUAUGGGUGCUGCAUGGGGCACGGCCGCCCUUCAACCUGCUGCCACGGGUUACUACCCCUACGAUCCAACCCUGGCCGCCUACGGAUACGGGGCUGGAUACGACCUAGCCGCGCGGCGGAAGAACGCGACGAGGGAGUCGACGGCGACCUUGAAGGCCUGGCUGAACGAGCACAAGAAGAACCCGUACCCGACGAAGGGCGAGAAAAUCAUGCUGGCGAUUAUCACGAAGAUGACGCUGACGCAGGUCUCGACUUGGUUCGCUAACGCGCGGCGGCGCCUGAAGAAAGAGAACAAGAUGACCUGGGAGCCGAAGAACAAGACCGACGACGACGACGACGCGGUUCUCACGGACUCGGAGGAUAACAAGGAGAAAGACGACCUCGCGGGGGACAAUCAGGGCGAUAGGGUCGGCGAGGAAGCGAGGAGGGGCCUCGAAGAAAAUGAGCCGAUGAGGCACGUGAAAGCGGAGCACUUGCAGCACGACAAGGACCUGGACGACGAGGACGACCUGGACCUCGAGGAGGACCCACGGCGGACCGAGCAUCCCUUUCAUCACGCGAUGCAGCACCAUCACCACCAUCACCAAGGGUACGCCGGGGAGGACCAUCUGAAGGACGAGGGCAUCAAGUCGGACUGCAGCGCGGCCGGCGUGCCGAUACCCGCGACCAAGCCAAAGAUUUGGUCCCUGGCGGACACGGCCGCCUGCAAAACGCCGCCGCCACCUUCCCACCCUCACCACCAACAGUACCACCACCUGCACCAUCAACAGCACUACGGCCAGCAGCAGCAUCACCUGGCGAACCAAGGACACCACCAUCAUUCCCAGCAACCUUGGCUCGGUUCCGCGGGCGGCGGCGGCAACGCCGGUGCCGGCGGCGGCGGAGGGAACCUCAGCUCGUUCGCGUUACCGUCCUCCGCGUCGAUGAGCCCUUCCGCGGCCGCGACCGCGCCGUAUUCGAGCGCCGCCACGAGGUACGGUGGCUUCCUGUCGUCCUCGUCCGGCGGCCAGCUGCACUACAACCCGAACUCCUCGUCCGGGUCAACAUCGAGCGCGUCCUCCUCGGCGGCGGCGGGGUUUCCCGAGGUUGGUACGGACACUCCACCCCAGACACCGCCCAACAUGAAGGUGGCUACACCGAAUGGAGUGAUCCAGGCACCACCGGCUGGCUACUGCACCACUGGCAACGGCAACGCGACGAGCAACGGUAAUCCUAACCCGUACGGAGCUAGCCACCCGGCCGCCACCGGCUACCUGUCCACGAGCUCCGGCUCCGCCAGCAGCGGGUCGUCCUUCAGCUCCAGGCUGCAGGCAUCCCCGCACAAGGACUUCUCGCCGGCAGCGCAGAACUCCAUUCUGCAUCAGCACCAGACCACUGCCAGCCUACCGGCCACGGAGGCCACCACUGCGUUUAAGCCGUUCUACAAAGGCAUUGGAAUGACCGAGUUAGAAACUCGUAGAAGAGAAUAACACUGGAAUCCGAUGGUUCCAGGUCACAGUCGAUGGGCAGUGGGUUCGUCUCGCCAGUGUAAGGCCCGGUGGAUCAACGUCGGAUCACCGUCGCGUCCCCCGAGGAUUAAGCCGUGGCGCGAACGACUGUCCCACGACCGGACUGUAAAUACUCGCUCCUGAGAGGUCCUGGGAUUUAUUAGCGUCGCCUUGGGUGGACGGAGGAGGAAGCGGAGGAGAGUGGCUGCUUGAGAAACCAGCGAGAGGCCAGGAACACAGGGGAGAGAAGCAGGGGCAGAGAGAGAGAGAGAGAAAGAGAGGAGAGACCGGCGAAAAUGGGAGCCGAUGCGAGAGGACGAGCCGUGAAAAAGCGGAAUGGAGGACGGGCAGGAGGGAAAGAAUCGGGGGUGGCCGACCGGAGAAUACAUAAAUCGCGUCCGCCCGCAAGGCGCGCGGCUGCGAGAGACGAACGAGGGACGCCGCGAGUCGGCCGGAGCGGGCUUAGAGGAGAUUUAGGAAUUAGGGGAAUUACGUCCAAGUGCCUGCUUACGCACGAGUACGUAACGGAGGAGAAGAAGACGCUGCCCGGGGAGCAAGGCCAGACGUGCGCUGAAUCGCGCCUGAAACUGCGCCUUCGAGAGUUUCAGGGAGACGUCGUCCCGUUGGAGCCGAUUCGCCGGCGCGCCUGGCCUCUCCCCGUCCUCCCAAGCCCCUUUGCCACCCCUGCAAUCCGCGUUCCGCGUGUUCGAGGAGCUUAUUAGUCAAUCGAAAUUUCGCCGACGACGCCAGGUCGCCAGGUUCUGUACAUAAGAGGGCGGUAGACUCACGUACAAGGUCCAGGAUCACGUAGAAGGAUCGAUCCUUGUUUUGUAUAUACUUUCGCGGGGAUGGACGAGGCUCGUUCAACCCCUGUCGCUGUUCUCCGACUGCCGCGGACCCAGUCGCUUCUGGGGACCGAGGCGCUAUGGGCAACGUGCAAACUGGUAGGUAUCCAGAAGGACCUCGACCCGGAGAUCGCGUCUCUUGGGUCCUCCGGACGGCGAAUCGACCUGUACUCUGUAAGAAGAGGGAAGAGGGACUCGGAGAUUCGAGGGAGUAUGGAAAAGACACUUUACCUUUCAACUAACCGAUGUUAACGUGCACACGAACACGCGGUAGCAAUCGCGCGGUAAUAAUACAACAGUACGGUGUUCGGAGUCAACGAGAGAUUCGACGAGAUGUCGGGUUGUACAUUCGAAGCGUCGGCGUUAAAUUCAAAAUGGCGGUGGUCGAACUACGCUUCGCACCGCGCAAGAUCGUUCCGCGAUCCACGAGGGUGUCGCGGCGAGCCAGUUAAGAGUAAACAUUCGUCCUUUUUGCGCGAGCGGCGCCCGCGCUCGCGAGUCGUGGAGGACUUCCGGUCCCACGGGGGAUUCGUCGACGGGACGCGCGAUCCGAGUUGGCGUCGUACUUUUAACCCUCGUUAAUUUCAACCUCCUCUGUGCAAUAUAUCGUUUAGAUGCGUGUCGCGUCGAUCGCGCGUGAUCCUCGAGAUUCGUAGGAAUCGGAUCGACGGCGGACGCCGACCGGACCCGAACUUUCGUGGGCCGACGCGCGCUUCCUCGGUUCGACGAUGUCCGCGGGAAACGGUGCGAAACACACGCGAGCGUCGCGCCGCUCGAGAUUGUUAAUAUUUUUUUAUAUUAUAUUGUAUACCGUGCGAAUCGUCGCUCGUUUCGGGGAGUCCGACGCAUCGGCAGGUGGAUCGGGGCGCGCACCUGUGUCGCGCGCGGUCGCGAACGGUCGUCGGCGGGCGGAGUGCGUGCGCCCGUGGAACGCGAGGAUUGGGGAGAGCGAGCGAACGCGAGCCGGCAGAGACGAGAGAAUAAAAUCGACUAUCAUUUUGUACUUUGACUACACGAGAGCGAGUAUGCGUGCGCGUCAGCGGCGAUGUGUGUGGGCGACGGGAAUUGGGCGAAGGGCGGCACGGCCGGGUGAGAGGAGGGUUGAAAUUGGGUGAAGCUGGCCGAGGGCAAGGAAAAAUUGUACAUUGUUUUGUAAAGAGUACAUUUAUUUAUAUCUGUGAUAACGGGCACGGUUAAAAGGAAUUAAAAAGAAAAAGCAGGAGAGAGGUAGGUUCGAGAAACGGAGCGAGAACGACGGACGAGGAGCGAGAGAGAGAGAACGGAAGAGUGGAACGGCAGAGACGUAGCGGAAGGGGAAACGUCACGGCGUCGGUAUACUUCGACGAAGACGAUCGGUGCUCGUGCAUUCGUUGACGCAUAUAUCUUAUAGGAUUAAUUCUAGACUCGAUAAUGGUUUUGUAAAUAAUCGACGCAUAGCCCAAGGGACACGAGGGUUUUACCUUCCUUUCGGAUCCGAGCGACAGAUAAAUAAAUGACAAAACAAAAAAAACGAACUAUGAAUUAUAAGGGUAAAACAAUUAUACAUAUAUACAUAUAUAAAUAUAUAUAGGGAAGAGAGGAAGAGAGAAACGUUUGUUUUUCCCGCGCGACACGAUCGCACCCUCGUGUGAAGAGACGAAGAGAGAACUAUUUGUUGUGAAUAUACAUAAUACAGGUACUAGGUAUAUAGAUAUAUAAAUAUAAAUAUAUAAAUAUAUAUAAAUAUAUACAUACUACGAUUAAUAGGUUCUAUUUGGUUGUUCGUACGAAUUCAAUUGUAAAUUAAUUCAAUUGUACAUAGUUCUGAAUGUGAAUAUAGACAGAAUAUAUCUAUUAUUAUUAUUAUUAUUAUUAUUAUUAUUAUUAUUAUUAUUAUUAU